AACGAACGCUGGCGGCGUGCCUAACACAUGCAAGUCGGACGAGAAAGUCCGUAGCAAUGCGGGCCGGUAAAGUGGCGCACGGGUGAGUAAUACGUGGGUAACCUACCUCUCGGUGGGGGAUAACCCCGCGAAAGCGGGCGUAAUACCGCAUAAUAUCCUGAGGCCAAAGACCGAAGGGUUAAAGGUAGCCUCUGCUUGCAAGCUAUCACCGAUUGAGGGGCCCGACCGCCCCACUUAGCUAGUUGGUAGGGUAACGGCCUACCAAGGC
rnacentral:rRNA from 1 species